ACUGGUUUGGCUCAGUGGAUAGAGCAUCAGCCUGUGGACUGAAGGGUCUCAGGUUCAAUUCCUGUCAAGAGUA
rfam:Myotis davidii contig1193, whole genome shotgun sequence.